rnacentral:rRNA from 1 species
UACGUAGGGUGCGAGCGUUGUCCGGAAUUAUUGGGCGUAAAGAGCUCGUAGGCGGUGUGUCACGUCGGCCGUGAAAACCUGCAGCUUAACUGUGGGCGUGCGGUCGAUACGGGCAUCACUGGAGUUCGGCAGGGAGACUGGAAUUCCUGGUGUAGCGGUGAAAUGCGCAGAUAUCAGGAGGAACACCGGUGGCGAAGGCGGGUCUCUGGGCCGAUACUGACGCUGAGGAGCGAAAGCGUGGGAGCAAACAGG